rnacentral:rRNA from 1 species
CCUCUUCGGAGGUGACGAUAAUGGAAUGAGCGGCGGACGGGUGAGUAACACGUAGGCAACCUGCCUGUAAGACUGGGAUAACUCGUGGAAACGCGAGCUAAUACCGGAUAACACUUUUCAUCUCCUGAUGAGAAGUUGAAAGGCGGCUUUUGCUGUCACUUACAGAUGGGCCUGCGGCGCAUUAGCUAGUUGGUAAGGUAACGGCUUACCAAGGCGACGAUGCGUAGCCGACCUGAGAGGGUGAUCGGCCACACUGGGACUGAGACACGGCCCAGACUCCUACGGGAGGCAGCAGUAGGGAAUCUUCCGCAAUGGACGAAAGUCUGACGGAGCAACGCCGCGUGAGUGAUGAAGGUUUUCGGAUCGUAAAACUCUGUUGUUAGGGAAGAACAAGUACUAUAGUAACUGAUAGCACCUUGACGGUACCUAACCAGAAAGCCACGGCUAACUACGUGCCAGCAGCCGCGGUAAUACGUAGGUGGCAAGCGUUGUCCGGAAUUAUUGGGCGUAAAGCGCUCGCAGGCGGUUCUUUAAGUCUGAUGUGAAAUCUUAC